UACGUAGGGUGCGAGCGUUGUCCGGAAUUACUGGGCGUAAAGAGCUCGUAGGUGGUUUGUCGCGUUGUUCGUGAAAACUCACAACUCAAUUGUGGGCGUGCGGGCGAUACGGGCAGACUGGAGUACUGCAGGGGAGACUGGAAUUCCUGGUGUAGCGGUGGAAUGCGCAGAUAUCAGGAGGAACACCGGUGGCGAAGGCGGGUCUCUGGGCAGUAACUGACGCUGAGGCGCGAAAGCUAGGGGAGCAAACGGG
rnacentral:rRNA from 1 species